GUUUUUGUAGAUGUAUUGGUAGCCAUAAUAGUCUCUUGUUAAAUGGCUCCUGAAAGGCUGAUUUAAGGUUGCCUGCAACAGCCAAUAGAUGUUGCUGCAUAUGUAUGCUGUGAAGGGGUUGAUGGCUCAAGACUGUGACAGUGUUAGAUCAUCCUGUACCAAUGUUCAAGACACAUUAUGUGAAGACCCAGCUCUCUGGAGAAGGCUAUGGUGCUGUGAAAGAUGGAAGAGAAGAGGAUAACUAGCAGCAAGAUACCGCCCAACGUUCAAGUCUGUCAAGAUCCUUCUGUAACUUGAGCCUAUCUUCUGGAGUGUUGGCUAUUCCUGCCAGCUUGGUGUCAUCUGCAAAUUUGAUGAGUUCCCCAUCUAUCCCCUUGUCCAAGUCAUUAUUGAUGAUCAAUAAUGAGGUAGCAGAAGAUUUGUGUGUGUAUGUUUAUGUGUAUACAUAUAUGAACUCCCUCGGCCAGGUAAUCACAAGAACUGAAUAUGGAUACAAGUUCAAGAAUGGAGCUAUUCUACAUGGAUGACAUCAAGUUGUAUGUAAACAGUGAACAAGAUGUCAACUCACUGAAACACCUGACAAUGGUUUACAGUAAGAACACUGGGAUGCCAUUCAUAUUGGAGAAGUGCGGCCAGAUGCUUAUCAAGAUAGAGAAGGUGGUAAAAACUGAUGGUGUAGAACUACCAGCAGGCCACAUAGCAGACAAAUAGUCCACCUUACAAGUACCUUAAUAUCCCACAAUCACAUGGGAUACCACAAUGAGGAGUCAAGGAAGGCAACAACAUCAAAGUACCAUUAAAGGAUAAAUUAGAUCCUGAAGAGUCAAU